rnacentral:rRNA from 1 species
GACGAACGCUGGCGGCGUGCUUAACACAUGCAAGUCGAACGGAAAGGCCCUGCUUGCAUGGUACUCGAGUGGCGAACGGGUGAGUAACUCGUGGGUGGUCUGCCCUGCACUUCGGGAUAAGCCUGGUAAACUGGGUCUAAUACCGGCUAGGUGCCAUCUUUAAUGUGAUGGUUGGAAAGUUUUUUGGGUGUAGGCUGAGCUCGCGGCCUAUCGGCUUGUUGGUGGGGUAAUGGCCUACCAAGGCGGCGACGGGUAGCCGGACUUAGAGGGUGGACGGCCACCUAGAGACUUAGGGACGGCCGAGACUCCUACGGGAGGCAGCAGUGGGGAAUAUUGACCGAUGGGCGCAGGCCUGAUGCAGCGACGCCGCGUGGGGGAUGACGGUCUUCGGGUUGUAGACCCCUUUCGCGAGGGAAGAAGCUUUUAGUGACGGUACCUAGAUAAGAAGCACCGGCUAACUACGUG